AUUGAACGCUGGCGGCAUGCUUUACACAUGCAAGUCGGACGAGUGGCGAACGGGUGAGAAAUAUAUUGGAACGUACCGUGGAAUGGGGGAUAACCAAUCGAAAGAAGGGCUAAUACCGCAUAAUAUGCGAGCGGCCAAUAGCUGAGUAGCUAGUUGGUGGGGGAAUGGCACACCUAGGCGACGAUCAGUAGCGGGUCUGAGAGGAUGAGCCGCCACACUGGGACUGAGACACGGCCCAGACUCCUACGGGAGGCAGCAGUGGGGAAUUUUGGACAAUGGGCGCAAGCCUGAUCCAGCCAUGCCGCGUGUCUGAAGAAGGCCUUCGGGUUGUAAAGUACUUUUAUUAGGGAAGCGGUACCUACAGAAUAAGCACCGGCUAACUACGUGCCAGCAGCCGCGGUAAUUC
rnacentral:rRNA from 1 species